rnacentral:rRNA from 1 species
UGCCAGCAGCCGCGGUAAGACGGAGGGUGCAAACGUUGUUCGGAAUUACUGGGCAUAAAGCGCACGUAGGCGGCCAGAUCAGUCCGUUGUGAAAGCCCUCGGCUCAACCGGGGAAUUGCAAUGGAUACUAUCUGGCUUGAGGACGGUUGGGGUGAGUGGAACUCCUGGUGGAGCGGUGAAAUGCGUAGAUAUCAGGAGGAACACCAGUGGCGAAAGCGACUCACUGGACCGUAUCUGACGCUGAGGUGCGAAAGCUAGGGUAGCGAACGGGAUUAGAUA